rnacentral:tRNA from 1 species
AGGCACAUGGCUUUGUGGUUAGAGUAUUUGGUUCACAGUCAAAAGGUUCUGAGUUCGAUUCUUGGUGGCCCA